rnacentral:rRNA from 1 species
GACGAAGCGUGCGAACGUUGUUCGGAAUCACUGGGCUUAAAGGGCGCGUAGGCGGCCGGGUUGGUCGUGGGUGAAAUCCCCCAGCUUAACUGGGGAACUGCCUACGAUACUGCCUGGCUCGAGGGAGGAAGGGGCGGGCGGAACUGUCGGUGGAGCGGUGAAAUGCGUUGAUAUCGACAGGAACGCCGGUGGCGAAAGCGGACCGCUGGCCCUCUUCUGACGCUGAGGCGCGAAAGCCAGGGGAGCGAACGGG